GACUGACAAGUCUGUAUCUUUCGACGACAUACGUCUAACAAAUAGAUUGGAAAAAAUGGAGAAUUUUAAGAUCCAACUUUCAACGUUCCAUAAGCACAAAAUUGCUGUCGAGAUUAGGAGACUUAAAAUUUGUGGCGAGUGUUGUCAACUGCAUUUAAUCAACGUCAAGUUUCCGUUGACCGAAUAUUUAUUGCUGUUACCGGUUACAAGAAUGACAAUCUUGCUCAAUUGAAAAUCGACACAAAUCCAUCUUC